GUGAGGAAUAUUGGUCAAUGGGCGGAAGCCUGAACCAGCCAUGCCGCGUGAAGGACGAAGGCGUUCUGCGUUGUAAACUUCUUUUAUAAGGGAAGAAACCUGCGAUAUCUAUUGCAGCCGACGGUACCUUAUGAAUAAGCACCGGCUAACUCCGUGCCAGCAGCCGCGGUAAUACGGAGGGUGCAAGCGUUAUCCGGAUUCACUGGGUUUAAAGGGUGUGUAGGCGGGCUUGUAAGUCAGGGGUGAAAUCCUACAGCUUAACUGUAGAACUGCCUUUGAUACUAUAGGUCUUGAAUAUUGUUGAGGUGGGCGGAAUACAUCAUGUAGCGGUGAAAUGCUUAGAUAUGAUGUAGAACACCGAUUGCGAAGGCAGCUCACUAAGCAAAUAUUGACGCUGAGGCACGAAAGCGUGGGGAUCAAACAGGAUUAGAAACCCGGAGUAGUCC
rnacentral:rRNA from 1 species